rnacentral:misc_RNA from 1 species
GAUGAAGAACGCAGCGAAAUGCGAUAAGUAAUGUGAAUUGCAGAAUUCAGUGAAUCAUCGAAUCUUUGAACGCAUCUUGCGCUCCUUGGUAUUCUGAGGAGCAUGCCUGUUUGAGUGUCAUUAAAUUCUCAACUACACUGACUUUGAAUUGGUGUGGCUUGGAUUUGGGGGGAAAAUUGUUGUGGGCUUUUUGUAUAGUCUGCUCCCCUGAAAUUGAUUAGCGGUACCUUUGUGGAACUGUCUACAGGUGUGAUAAUUAUCUACAUCUUAGACAUCUGCUGGAAUGCUGCUUUCUAAACCUUACUUGUAUUGACAAUCUAGACCUCAAAUCAGGUAGGACUACCCGCUGAACUUAAGCAUAUCAAUAAGCGGAGGA